rnacentral:rRNA from 1 species
AAUAGAUACCCGGGUAGUCCACGCCGUAAACGAUGAGUGCUAAGUGUUAGGGGGUUUCCGCCCCUUAGUGCUGCAGCUAACGCAUUAAGCACUCCGCCUGGGGAGUACGGUCGCAAGACUGAAACUCAAAGGAAUUGACGGGGGCCCGCACAAGCGGUGGAGCAUGUGGUUUAAUUCGAAGCAACGCGAAGAACCUUACCAGGUCUUGACAUCCCAUUGACCACUAUGGAGACAUAGUUUUCCCUUCGGGGACAACGGUGACAGGUGGUGCAUGGUUGUCGUCAGCUCGUGUCGUGAGAUGUUGGGUUAAGUCCCGCAACGAGCGCAACCCUUGUUCUUAGUUGCCAUCAUUUAGUUGGGCACUCUAAGGAGACUGCCGGUGACAAACCGGAGGAAGGUGGGGAUGACGUCAAAUCAUCAUGCCCCCUUAUGACCUGGGCUACACACGUGCUACAAUGGACGGUACAAACGGUUGCCAACCCGCGAGGGGGAGCUAAUCCGAUAAAACCGUUCUCAGUUCGGAUUGUAGGCUGCAACUCGCCUACAUGAAGCC